rnacentral:rRNA from 1 species
UACGUAGGGGGCAAGCGUUGUCCGGAUUCAUUGGGCGUAAAGAGCGUGUAGGCGGCCAGGCAGGUCCGCUGUGAAAACUCGAGGCUCAACCUCGAGAUGUCGGUGGAAACCGUCUGGCUAGAGUCCGGAAGAGGAGAGUGGAAUUCCCGGUGUAGCGGUGAAAUGCGCAGAUAUCGGGAAGAACACCCGUGGCGAAGGCGGCUCUCUGGGACGGUACCGACGCUGAGACGCGAAAGCGUGGGGAGCGAACAGGAUUGAG